rnacentral:sRNA from 1 species
CGGCGAGUGAACGGAGAUUAGCCCAUCACCGAAGCCUGCGUGUGUUUGCAUGCUAGGCAAUGUGGUGUUAAGGUGUGUACCUGGGAUCGUGUACCUACCCGAAGUCUAAAUCCGAUUGUGGCUUUGGAUUCAUUCCAUAGCGGGUGAAAGUCCCGUGCGGGUAGGACUAUUGCAAAUCGCACGGUCCUCAGAUGUGCAUGCUUUCGAGUCGGAUUGCUUGAGAAUGCAGUCCAAAGUGGGUGGUAAACUCCAUCCAAGGCUAAAUACUGGCACGAGUCCGAUAGUAGACAAGUACCGUGAGGGAAAGUUGAAAAGUACUCUGAAGAGAGAGUAAAUAGUACGUGAAGCCGAUUGCAGGGAAGCUGGUGGAGUCAAGCUUCGUGCUUGAGGGAUUGAUGCUGGGAGCAGGUGUGUGAUUUGGAUGCGAGGCUGGACAGCUUGGAAAAAGUUGGGCGUGUUCUGAAUGCGCUUCAAGUCAUUCCGGGAAGAGUGUUAUGAGCCAGCCUCGCUUUCCUACUCUCAGUGUUGUAUUCCUCGCUGCACAGGCCACAGUCAAUAGGUGCAUGCGGUAUGAUGGCCUAACUGUGCUUCGGCGGGUGCAAGCUCUCCGGGUGCAGGAUGGCAGGUGCUGUCUUCAGGCCUCGUGUCUGUUGAUAGUUGUUGUGGUUUUGACCGGCUGGUCCUCAUACUGUAUUGUGCUUAUUGCCUAUUAAUGGCGCGGCUUCCUUCGGAAG